CCUACGGGAGGCAGCAGUGGGGAAUAUUGGACAAUGGGCGCAAGCCUGAUCCAGCCAUGCCGCGUGAGUGAUGAAGGCCUUAGGGUUGUAAAGCUCUUUCGUCCGGGACGAUAAUGACGGUACCGGAAGAAGAAACCCCGGCUAACUUCCUGCCAGCAGCCGCGGUAAUACCAAGGGGGCUAGCGUUGUUCGGAAUCACUGGGCGUAAAGGGCGCGUAAGCGGCUUUAUAAGUCGGGGGUGAAAGCCUGUGGCUCAACCACAGAAUUGCCUUCGAUACUGUACAGCUUGAUACCGGAAAAGGUAAUUGGAACUGCUAGUGUAGAGGUGAAAUUCAUACAUAUUCUCAAGAACACCAUUGGCGAAGGCGGCUUACUGGUCCGGUUCUGACGCUGAUGCGCGAAAGAGUGGGGAGCAAAAAAGAUUAAAUACCCUGGUACUCCACGCCGUAAACGAUGAAUGCCACCCGUUGGCGAGCUUGCUCGUCAGUGGGGCAGCUAACGCUUUAAGCAUUCCGCCUGGGGAGUACGGUCGCAAGAUUAAAACUCAAAGGAAUUGACGGGGGCCCGCACUAGCGGUGGAGCAUGUGGUUUAAUUCGAACCAACGCGCAUAACCUUACCAACCUUUGACAUGUCCGGUAUGGGUCCUGGAUACAGGAUCCUUCAAUUCGGCUGGCCGGAACACAGGUGCUGCAUGGCUGUCGACAGCUCGUGUCGUGAUAUGUUGGGUUAAGUCCUGCCACGAGCGCAACCCUCACCCCUAGUUGCCAUCAUUACGUUGGGCACUCUAUGGGGACUGCCGGUGAUAGCCGCGAGGAAGGUGGCGAUGACGUCACGUCCUCAUGUCCUACAAGUGAGCUACCAUGUGCUUCAUGGCAGUGAAAUGGCAGCGAACCCGCGAGGG
rnacentral:rRNA from 1 species